CUCAGAUUGAACGCUGGCGGCAUGCCUUACACAUGCAAGUCGAACGGCAGCACGGGGCAACCUGGGUGGCGAGUGGGCGAACGGGUGAGUAAUGCAUCGGAACGUGCCAUUGAGUGGGGAUAACGUAGCGAAAGUUGCGCUAAUACCGCAUAUUCUGUGAGCAGGAAAGCAGGGGACCGCAAGGCCUUGCGCUCUUUGAGCGGCCGAUGUCAGAUUAGCUAGUUGGUGAGGUAACGGCUUACCAAGGCGACGAUCUGUAGCGGGUCUGAGAGGAUGAUCCGCCACACUGGAACUGAGACACGGUCCAGACUCCUACGGGAGGCAGCAGUGGGAUUUUUGGACAAUGGGCGCAAGCCUGAUCCAGCCAUGCCGCGUGAGUGAAGAAGGCCUUCGGGUUGUAAAGCUCUUUCGGCCGGGAAGAAAUCGCAUGGGUUAAUACCCUGUGUGGAUGACGGUACCGGAAUAAGAAGCACCGGCUAACUACGUG
rnacentral:rRNA from 1 species